CAUUACCCCAGGAAAGGAUUAUAUACAUUUAUUAAAUGGAAACAGAGCUAAUUGUAGAAAACUUAACUUUAAAAAAAAUACAAAAUACUACUUAAGGUAAUGAGUGACAGAAGUGUAGCCUGCAAAUCUGUCAUUGAACCACUGCUAGAAGGAAGAGGAAUCCAGCUGCUGGCACCUCUGUGGUGCCAAAUUUGAGAAAACUUCAUGUUUUGUAACCCACAGCAGUAUUGAUUAUUUUCUGCUGCCUUCUGUGGGAACCAGAAAUAAUUGUAGCAAGAAGGCUGGCCACGGGCAAUAAGAAAAAGGGGUUUCCAAGUAGCUCAGGAAACACAAGGGAGGGGAGCAUCUAUUGGCUGGAACCUCAGGGUCCCAGGUUACGUUUUGAAACCUGCCUCUUCUUCCACAGAGCUCUGGCCAGUGUUGAUGUGGAGUAAUGGGGAACGUUUCUUCAUCCCAUUAUCAGUAAACUCCAAAGGGAAGUCUUACCAAACUGCCUCCUGGUUGCUGUCAUUUCUAAAUUUUAAGCUGGUAAAUUCUGAUAAAGAAGCCAGAGAAGACUGGAAAAACUGGACCAAGAAACUAGUUCCGUUGGGAACCCUGAGUAAGGCAAUUUGAAGGAACUGGAAACUCAACAAAUGAGAAAGAAGAAGUCAGGAUCACAGACUAUUGAUAUAAUCAAAUAAUAAUAAUAAUAACAAAUACAAGAGAAUACUUUCUAUGUACCAGUGUGUCCGGAAUUGUUCCUUCCAGUGGGUUCUUGGUCUCGCUGACUUCAAGAAUGAAGUCACGGACCCUCGUGGUGAGUGUUACAGUUCUUAAAGAUGGUGUGUCUGGAGCUUGUUCCUUCAGAUGUUCCUGAGUUUCUUCCUUCCAGUGGGUUCGCUUGACUUCAGGAGUGAAGCCGCAGACCUUCGCAGUGAGCGUUAUAGCUCUUAAAGGUGGUGCGUCUGGAGUUGUUUUUUCUUCCCGGUGGGUUCGUGGUCUUGCUGACUUCAGAAGUGAAGC
rnacentral:lncRNA from 10 species